ACGAGGUAAGUUUAUUAAGAUGAGUUAACUAGGCAGAUCUCUUGCUGUUUCAUGUGGCUUCUACCACACAGCUAACAUGAGUUACACCCUGCAGAGAGAGAGGUAACAUAAGCCUUUUCACCUUCUUAACGCACAAAAACUGAGAAAGAGUUGUCCGCGUCCAAAUCUUGGGGGAGAAACUAGUAGAAAUCUUGGGGGGAGAAACUAUACUUGUAGGACUUUCUAUAGAAAACUGUUGCGUCAAGUGUUAAGACUCCCUAGGGGAUCAUAUUUCUUCCAGUUCUUGUCACCCCGUUCUGAGUUUUGCAGAGUAUUCUUUUCAUAGUGAACAUUAGACAAGUAAAUCAGAGGGUUGAUUCUUUCUUAUCAAUAUUAGGAGUGGAUUGUUGGACAUUUCUUGAAUUGAUCGACAGUCAAAAAAAGGCAUGCAAAAUAGAUAUAUACUUUUUUUUUUCUUCUGCAACAUGUAUGCGCGAUCAGGUUGUUGGUCUGGUCUGUCAUCGUGAUAAGUGGACCUGAAGAUUGGUGGCAGUUCAGGUCGUGGAUGGUUUGUUGCUUUCUUCCUUACAAGUACUAAUUACAUUUGGAGAUCUAUGCAGAUUUCAUGCGCAAGCUGGAACGCUAUGCCUGGGCGCACCUUACUGCAGGAAUUGCUGUGACUGAACUUUUGAUGAUGUCCCGUGGCUCUGCUGCAUCCGCCCUUAAACUUGGUUCUCUUGUAGGCUUAACUGUUUUUGCAGGUUGUCGUUCUCUUCUCUGAAAUUGUUGGUCUCGACAGUUUCAAACUUCAGUACCCGCCCUGUCCGGUGUUCGUCAUUCACGGAUAAGUUGGAAGGCACGGGUAAGAUAUAUUGGCACGGUCCAUGGAAACGUUGAACAGUGCACAAGGCUACUGCUGUUUGAGCUCCACCCAUUCCGCCAGGAUCUCCUGAAAUGUGUUUCAGGGGGAAAAUGAACCGGACAGAGUGGCACCAUGCAGUCAUUUAGCACCUGCCAGUGCGAUGACUUCACUACCAGAAGUGCCCAAGUAGCUAAUCUUAAGGUAAUCUGUUUCUGGUGCUCGGAUAAACGGACACACCAGACCAUAAGCCAGGUAAAUACCAUCGAAUCACAUCGUUAACGGCGGCGGCUACAGAACCAUACGCGCAGUUUGGUGAGUUUGGUGUGGUUGAUGACGUGGCUGGUCCGAUGAUUGGUCCAAAAUGCCAGCAUAUACCGUCAAUGAUGAUAUACCGCCAAAAUCAGGCAGGAAACGAGCGAUCGAUUCUUUGCCCGCUUCAUUACUCUCUUCCCAAGGUACGCAUCCGUCAAUGAUGAUAUACCGCCAAGUCUGCAAAACUGAGGGCAAUUGUUUCAUCGUCGCGGUUAUUAACCUUAGCUAUGGGCGAAUUACGGAUUAGUGGGAUUCGAUAAAAUCAUAAGCAAUGAAUUUUCAGACGAUAAUAGAGCGGCUACGGUGAUUUGCUAAUGUCAAAUUUGAGUCUUAAUUAGCUCUUUUAGAACACCCAAAGUUUUUUCCACAAAAAUCCUUCAACAUUUAUCUGGUACCGUUCCAGGAGGAGCCUUUUGGUUAGAGUGGCUUCAUCGACCUUAGCUCACGCUAGGGUUUAGCUGACGACACGAUCAGUUUGUACUGAACUGGAUGCACUUGAUAGUGGUAAUGGAUGUGUGGUUUUAAUUUUAAGGUCCUGUGUUUAAUUCCUAACAUAUUUACAUUUUUUUCUUAAAAAAUGUUCACAAGUUUUUCUUUAAAAAGUUUGGAGGGACAUAUCUUCCUCCGAAUUUCUCUUUUUUAGUUUGUACAGAGCUAUAGGUGUCAUUGAGGAACAGGAUUUACAGAUGCUACAGAAAGAGAGAAAACUGAGAAGCAUAAGCUACCAUCUUACACAAGUUGGACUCUGCAGCAAGCAAAAUUUACGCCAAACAUGGUAGAUGCAGUCAUGCUGUAUGCAUCUUACAUCAGUAUCAUAUCUAAUUAGACAUUAGAUCACCUCAAAGAUGAUGACGCACACCCAUCUUCCAUCUCCAUCAAAAGGCAUGCGUCCAUGGAUAACCAGCCGAUUCAGUAUCCUGGCAGCUCCGCCGCCGGCACGAAGGAGACCAUCUCGCGGGACGGCACCCAGGCCUUGACGACGACGACGGCGUCGAACACCAGCUCGUCGUCGGCCUCCUGGGCAGCGAUGCGGAGGUAGUACUUGAUCCCGGAGACCACCUGCGUCUGCGCCGCCACGACCCUGGAGAAGACCAGCCCGCGGCCGCGGGUGGCCGACCCCCCUCGCCGGUUGUGUUCCACGACGCAGAAGAGCCCGAGCUCCUGCACCUCCCUGUUCCCCUCCACGUCCUCCACGUCCGUCCUCCCGCCGACCUUCCUCCCGCGGCCGCCGCCCGCCGGCCACUGCCCGUCGUCGUCGGCGGCGGCGGCGGCGGCGAGGCGCGCGGACGAGAGCGGCGCGAGGAGGAGAAGCACCAGCACGAGCGGGGCGACGGCGUAAUACAGCUUGGAGGCCAUAGUUUUGUACUUUCGCUUGCUAGCUAAUUAUAUGUUUGGAUUUCGCAGUUUUGCACAGAUGUACAGAGGCGAGAGAUGAUAUAGGUAGGGUGGUGUGUACUGCAGUGCAGGUGUUCGCGUGACCACGUAGCGACGCGCGCGUGUGUGCAUGCGGCGCCACGGCGCGGCAUCACGUGGACCCUGCAGCUGCUCCGCGCAACAGCAAGCUCGGCCUUUGUCCGGCGUUGCGUGACGAGGGGCGGGCGAAGCUAGCGUUUGUGGACUAGAAAAAAGGAUGGAGUUUGUUCCAUCUUUUUGUAUGCAUGUUGCAUGGAUAUGAAAAGUAGCAAAGGGGUGAUCAUUGCCGUGU
rnacentral:sRNA from 1 species